rnacentral:rRNA from 1 species
ACGAACGCUGGCGGCAGGCUUAACACAUGCAAGUCGAACGGGUGCAGCAAUGCAUCAGUGGCAGACGGGUGAGUAACACGUGGGAACCUUCCUAGGGGUACGGAACAACUCAGGGAAACUUGAGCUAAUACCGUAUACGUCCGUAAGGAGAAAGAUUCAUCGCCCCUAGACGGGCCCGCGUCGGAUUAGGUAGUUGGUGGGGUAACGGCCUACCAAGCCUACGAUCCGUAGCUGAUCUGAGAGGAUGAUCAGCCACACUGGGACUGAGACACGGCCCAGACUCCUACGGGAGGCAGCAGUGGGGAAUCUUGGACAAUGGGCGCAAGCCUGAUCCAGCCAUGCCGCGUGAGUGAAGAAGGCCUUAGGGUUGUAAAGCUCUUUUACCAGGGACGAUAAUGACGGUACCUGGAGAAUAAGCCCCGGCAAACUUCGUGCCAGCAGCCGCGGUAAUU